CUAUUCGCAUAAACAGCAGGA
rnacentral:siRNA from 1 species